AAUGUUCAUAGUAAGUAUUAUUUCAGAACGACAUCCAACUUCAAAGUGAAAAGCAUCUCACCCUCUCACCGAAUUUGAGUGGAAGACAUCAAACUAGUACGGACCACCCCACAAGAGCAUAAAUACUCUUGUCUGGAUUGGAGGCUCCCAGCAGAUGUGGAUCAGCAAGCAGGAGUACCAUGGGUCCGGCCCCUCCAUCAUCCUUCACAAAUGCUUCUAAACAAGACUGUUCCUCUUAUCUCUCCCGAACCAAAUGCCCAACAACUUCAGCUCUGUGCUAAACAACCACACCACAUUUUUCAUAAAAGUUACAGUACAAUAAAACUGCGGUAAGGGCAUCAUACUGUAAAAAAACAUGUACACUUAUGGUACUCUAAUGGGGUAGUUACACUCCGCAUAUCUACAAUAACAAGUCUAACAGUGUAUUUCAUGGUACAUUUUGAAUUUGAUGCCAGCAAGACAUUUUCAAAAAAUGUUUGGACAUGUUGGGGUAGCAAAUUUUGUAUACAUCUUCAUGCAGUGAAGAUAAGGCUAUAUGCCUAGUGAAGAUGAAAUACACCUCUGUUUAAUGGUGGGUUAGACAGAAGAAGAAAAAACAAUCAUUGGAAGACACUUACAUUCACUUUCACAGCUGCUGGAAUCUGCAUGAGGGGGAGGCAUCUGCUUUUCUGUGUUAAAGAAAAAAAAUUAACAAAAUGUAAAUUACUUUAAACUACAACCAUUUGCAAAGGUAUUUGAUCAGCCUUA